AUAUUCACCUGGCAGGGGAGAUACUUUGAUCUUAAAGGUAGUUUUCCCAGGGCAAGGCUUAUCCAUUGCACUCCGAUGUGCUGACCCCUGCAAGGCUUAACCAUUGCGCUCCAGAUGUGCUGACCCCUGCGAUUUCCCCAAAUGUGGGAAACUCAACUGCAUAGUUUGUGGUAGUGGGGGACUGU
rnacentral:snRNA from 1 species